rnacentral:rRNA from 1 species
AGUGAACGCUGGCGGUAGGCCUAACACAUGCAAGUCGAACGGCAGCACAGUAAGAGCUUGCUCUUACGGGUGGCGAGUGGCGGACGGGUGAGGAAUACAUCGGAAUCUACUUUUUCGUGGGGGAUAACGUAGGGAAACUUACGCUAAUACCGCAUACGACCUACGGGUGAAAGCAGGGGAUCUUCGGACCUUGCGCGAUUGAAUGAGCCGAUGUCGGAUUAGCUAGUUGGCGGGGUAAAGGCCCACCAAGGCGACGAUCCGUAGCUGGUCUGAGAGGAUGAUCGGCCACACUGGAACUGAGACACGGUCCAGACUCCUACGGGAGGCAGCAGUGGGGAAUAUUGGACAAUGGGCGCAAGCCUGAUCCAGCCAUACCGCGUGGGUGAAGAAGGCCUUCGGGUUGUAAAGCCCUUUUGUUGGGAAGAAAAGCAGCAGGUUAAUACCCCGCUGUUCUGACGGUACCCAAAGAAUAAGCACCGGCCAACUUCGUG